rnacentral:rRNA from 1 species
GACAGAGGUGCCAAGCGUUAGGCGGAAUCACUGGGCUUAAAGCGUGUGUAGGCGGAUCGUUAAGUACCUUGUGAAAUCCCACGGCUCAACCGUGGAACUGCUGGGUAUACUGGCGAUCUUGAGCCACCUAGGGGCGAGCGGAACAAACGGUGGAGCGGUGAAAUGCGUAGAUAUCGUUUGGAACGCCAAUGGUGAAAACAGCUCGCUGGGGGUGUGCUGACGCUGAGACACGAAAGCCAGGGGAGCGAACGGG